AGAACUCAUACCUUUCUCGGCCUUUUGGCUAAGAUCAAUUGUAGUAUCUGUUCUUAUCAGUUUAAUAUCUGAUACGUGGGCCAAUGGCUCACACGAUAUUAAAUUUAUUUUUUGAGGGGGAGGGCCCAUCACAGUUUCUUGCAACUGGGGUUCUCGAGCGGCGCCCAAGUGUUGCACUAUUGUUCGGGCCUGGUGCACCCCACCCAAUUACAGUUCAAAUGCUUCUAUGGUUCAGGUUCCAGGUUGCAGGCCCUAUGAAAAGAAGUAUGGCACCAUACAAAAAUAAAUUGAAGCUUUGGACGAGAUGGGCAUAUGCAUAUAAUAAUAGAAACGGUAUACUGAUAAAAUCAUCUAUUUCUUUCAACGAUAUGAUCUAAAAAGAUGUAGACUAAACUAUUCAUUUAUUUAUUUUUAUUGAAAAGAUGAAUAAAUUAUUCAUUUAAC